AGCAGCCGCGGUAAUUCCAGCUCCAAUAGCGUAUAUUAAAGUUGUUGCAGUUAAAAAGCUCGUAGUUGAAUUUCGGGAUUAGUAGGUUGGUCGUGCCUCUGGUAUGUACUCGCCUUACUGAUUCCUCCUUCUUGAAGAACUGUAAUGCCAUUAAUUUGGUGUUGCAGGGAAACAGGACUGUUACUUUGAAAAAUUAGAGUGUUUAAAGCAGGCCAUUGCCUGAAUACAUUAGCAUGGAAUAAUGAAAUAGGACGUUGAUCCUAUUUUGUUGGUUUCUAGGAUUGACGUAAUGAUUAAUAGGGAUAGUUGGGGGCAUUAGUAUUCAAUUGUCAGAGGUGAAAUUCUUGGAUUUAUUGAAGACUAACUACUGCGAAAGCAUUUGCCAAGGAUGUUUUCAUUAAUCAAGAACGAAAGUUAGGGGAUCGAAGACGAUCAGAUACCGUCGUAGUC
rnacentral:rRNA from 1 species